UUGCCACGCUUUCUUUUGAAGCUCCAUGGAUUUGGGGCGACUCCUGCGGGCCUCCUGGAGCACGACCUGGAGGCCUCCACCCUCCCAUCUGCCUCUGCUUCCUUGCAUUUAAAGGGUCUCAUGGAGGGGUCACAUAGUCCAUGGUAAAUGUUGCUAGCAAUACUACUGAUGAGUGAAAACACAUACAAGAAAUGAUCAGAUGUGAGCCCUCACCUACUGCUCCAGUGACCUGCCUGCCUGCCUUCCUAUUACCAUGCUUCCACUAUGAUGGUCAUGGACUAACCCUCUGAAACUGGAGCACUGCAUGAAGGCGAUGCACAGAUACAUGCAAGCAAAGUACUAAUGCACAAGAAAUAAAAUAAAAGCAUCGCUUCCCCAGAAACCCGAGCAGCUUUCAGAGGAUGCAGUGGGAAAGAAUGGCCCUUGAAAUGCUAAAAAGGGGAAAACAGCUUGAGAAUGUUAUGAGGCAAGAGGAUUGACGUGAGAGAUAUUUUCAUCUCCGAAGACUUGGUGCCAACUCAGGGCAAAGUUAGGAAAACAAAGCAUGGGUCACAGGAGAGAAAUACUGGAUGGAGAAGGUGAGAGAGAAACGGAGUCAGAAUGGAAAAGUGACUCACACACUGACUCACACCGUUGUCAUUUGUCUUUCCCCCGAUGACUGUCAGCAGUCAUUAUUCGGCAAGUUCUGUCACUAUUCGAUAGUGAAGAAUUCAUGCUGGGAAUAGUCACAUUCUGUAGGGAAUCCAGGACAAUGUUACUAUAAACCCAGGUGGGGAAGUGCAACUUAGUUCUAUAAGGGAAUAAAACUUCAGAAAAAAAAAACUCAAGAAUAAACAUAUUAAGA